rnacentral:rRNA from 1 species
GAUGAACGCCGGCGGUGUGCCUAAUACAUGCAAGUCGAACGCGUUGGCCUAAUUGAUUGAUGGUGCUUGCACCUGAUUGAUUUUGGUCGCCAACGAGUGGCGGACGGGUGAGUAACACGUAGGUAACCUGCCCAGAAGCGGGGGACAACAUUUGGAAACAGAUGCUAAUACCGCAUAACAGCGUUGUUCGCAUGAACAACGCUUAAAAGAUGGCUUCUCGCUAUCACUUCUGGAUGGACCUGCGGUGCAUUAGCUUGUUGGUGGGGUAACGGCCUACCAAGGCGAUGAUGCAUAGCCGAGUUGAGAGACUGAUCGGCCACAAUGGGACUGAGACACGGCCCAUACUCCUACGGGAGGCAGCAGUAGGGAAUCUUCCACAAUGGGCGCAAGCCUGAUGGAGCAACACCGCGUGAGUGAAGAAGGGUUUCGGCUCGUAAAGCUCUGUUGUUAAAGAAGAACACGUAUGAGAGUAACUGUUCAUACGUUGACGGUAUUUAACCAGAAAGACACGGCUAACUACGUG